UACGUAGGGUGCAAGCGUUAAUCGGAAUUACUGGGCGUAAAGCGUGCGCAGGCGGUUAUGUAAGACAGAUGUGAAAUGCCCGGGCUUAACCUGGGAACUGCAUUUGUGACUGCAUGGCUAGAAUCUGGCAGAGGGGGGUAGAAUUCCACGUGUAGCAGUGAAAUGCGUAGAUAUGUGGAGGAAUACCGAUGGCGAAGGCGGCGACCUGGGUCGAGACUGACGCUGAGGCGCGAAAGCGUGGGGAGCAAACAGG
rnacentral:rRNA from 1 species